GUGCCCAUUUCAGCAGCGCUUGGACUAAUAUUGGGACGAUACAGAGAAGAUUGCAUGGUCCCUGCGCAAGGGUGACACGCGAAUUCGUGAAGCGUUCCAUAUUUAA